CACCGACGCUUAAGGCGCCUCCCUUCACCUCCGCCGGGGCACUGGGGGGGCUGGGGGCUUGGAGGAAGGCGCAGUAGCCAGAGGGGAAUUGCUGCUUAGUCGUUAUUUUUAGCGCCUCGCUCAACCUGUGGUGUCAGCCCGUGGACUAGAGAGACAUUGGAGAGUAUUGAUUGUUUGUAGACUGCUGCUCUAAGAACUUGGUCAGCUAAUGCCAUAAAGGUGUCUCUGAUGUGGAAGCCUUUGUUCCCAGUGAUACCCAGAAAGAGUACACCCCUGGAAGAACUAAUGUGCAGUAACCAGACUCUCACUGGUGGAUAGACUUUCAUCUCUCUUAGACACCGGGAGAAGUCUGAGGAUCAGCUGCAGAUUGUACCAAAAAGGACAAAGCCCUAGGAGAAACAGCUUGAAUUCCACCCUAUGUCAGAGAAACCUUCACACUGAGGGGGGUGGCUUUUUCACACCCCUGCAUGAUGUAAGUUACAUUGACUUAAGCAGUAGUUUA
rnacentral:lncRNA from 1 species